rnacentral:rRNA from 1 species
CCGGAACCACCUGGUCCCAUCCCGAACCCAGAAGUGAAACGGUGUAUCGCCGAUGGUAGUGUGGGGUCUCCCCAUGUGAGAGUAGGUCACUGCCAGGC